UGUCUUUUGUGUGAAGACUCUUCUGCCCCUCUUUUUUUUUUUUUUUUUUUUCCUUCCCUGAUUUUACUCUCUACCAUUCAUUUUAUUUCUUCACCUUUGAGUUGCUUUUUUCCUCUUCUAAGGUACGCUCAAUCUCUCCUCUUGAUUGAAGUGCGCACUCUGAAUCCUCCAUUGAAGCGCCUUCUUAGCUAUCUCUCCUCCUUUGAAGCAGCUUUUGAGGUUGUGUCAGUCUGCUCAGCAUGAACCUGCAGCAAGCUGCGCAGCCAAGAACUUCUGCUAAAGGUUUAAUCGCCGCAGAGUUGAAAAAGAGAACAGCAACAGGAUGGAUAUAAAAUCACAGCCUGGAAAAUCAAAUCCCGAUAGAGUGACAAGUGCAGGUGAAGAUCUUUAAUAUAAGUGCUCCACUAAUUUGUCAUUUGCAACUUCAUAGUUUUAUUUUUGAUGCAUGUAUAACAAGUGGCAGCAGAAGUGUAGGGUCUGAGAGUCCUUCGCGAGAUCGACUUGUGUAGUUGACAACCUGUCUAAUUGGACAUCAUGUAGAAGUCCAGGUUAAAAAUGGAUCGGUUUACUCUGGAAUUUUCCAUGCGACAAGCGCCAAUAAAGAUUUUGGGGCUGUCUUGAAAAUGGCUCGAUUGAUAAAGAAUGUCUCUCUUUAGGCACAAAAGGUUACCUCUGAUUCAGUUGUCAAGGCUCCGUCAAAAACUCUUAUAACACCAGCUAAUGAACUUGUGCAAAUUGUGGCUAAGGCCUUCGUCCGUACUCUUCGUUUUACAGGUUUUUUAUGUACAGGGAAUGCAUGAUUGAAUCAGGUAUAAAUUAUUGUUUUUUGAAUUGAAGAAGGGACUUGUAGCCAUUGUAUGUGUUCUGUGUGUUAUAACUAUGAUUGGCCAACAAUACCCGUAGCUGGGUUGGAUGCAAAGCUUGCUCUCAUUGGUGUUUUGCUGCCUGUGGUGUUGAGAAUACUCUAAUAAGACAUGGCCUUUGCUUGAAGGGGUUUUUCCUUUCUUAAAUUAGGUGGGGGAUUAGGCGGGGGAUUGGAAGGAUGAGUUUGGCUUCAUGUUAGCUGACAUUUUGAAGCAAAAUAAAGUAAAUAAUCAGGCAUGAGAUUUGAACCCGGGGGCCAAUAAGGAGGAGAUCGAGAAGGAGGCUCUUUACCGAGUUCAAGCUCAAAAAAUUCUGAAAAGUCGAAAGAGUUCAGGCUCUUCACUCUUUUGUGGGGUGUGCUGCAGAACAACAACCUCAUUGAUGCUUUGUGUUUAAUCUUGUAAUUUAUAGCUUAAGUAGCAAUUACAUUUGAGUGAACAUGUGCAAUUUUUCACGAUUUUUCCCCCUUUUUCCCUUCUGUAUUGUUAUGGGAAAUUCGUUAACGUAAUUAGUAAUUGAAAUUGAAGUAGCAUUCAUUAUUAUGAAAGGAUUGUAGAAUUAAUACUUUUAUUAUACAUGCAAUUCAAUAUGCAAAGAUAUGUAAUUCUAA